rnacentral:rRNA from 1 species
UACGUAGGGUGCGAGCGUUGUCCGGAUUUAUUGGGCGUAAAGAGCUCGUAGGCGGUUUGUCGCGUCGGCCGUGAAAUCUCCACGCUUAACGUGGAGCGUGCGGUCGAUACGGGCAGACUUGAGUUCGGUAGGGGAGACUGGAAUUCCUGGUGUAGCGAUGAAAUGCGCAGAUAUCAGGAGGAACACCGGUGGCGAAGGCGGGUCUCUGGGCCGAUACUGACGCUGAGGAGCGAAAGCGUGGGGAGCGAACAGG